UAUAAACUGCAUAUUACGGAAUAGAUAAACUUGCUGAUAUUAAGUAUUUAGUAGCCAUGUGGACAAUGCAGUCUCUUCACAAUAUGAUUCCAUCAGACCUUAUAUCUACACUGUUUAAUCCAAGCUGGCACCUAUGCACAGUCCCAUUAUGUUUUGCAGAAAUUUUUAGUUAACUAAUAAGGCAAAACAUGUUUAUUGUGCAUUUUGUCAGGCACUUCCCUCAAAACAGCCUAAUUAAGCCUGAAAACCUAAGUUUAUCUAACUUGUUAUCAGAGAUAAUAAGUUGUUAUUAUCACAAGAACAGUGCAUACAAAUAAAAAAAUCCAUGGCUGUUCUUGGCAUCAGUAAAAGACCACAACACAUUACGAAAAUCGAUGAAAAAUAGACCGCAACACAACGGAAAUGUUUCCGGAGUACACUUACAGGUGAUGCACACAUCUGGACAUGCUUGACAGCUCUCCUAAGGAUCUCCUCCCGUCAGUGGUGUUGGAAAAUGACAUAAAAAAUCAAAAUGUAUUGUCCUUUCUGUGGCGUUGGAUUGGAUAACACGCCAAAAUUCUGCUGUUUCUGUGGACAAGAUGUCGGCUUUAUAUACGAGGCAGCUUCUACAGUAUCUAGGACUGCAGGGACUGAUGCAUGUUCCACCCCAGCAGAGUCACCAGUGCAUCGGUUAAUGAGACACGGAGAUCCAAAAGAAAGGGGAAGGAAUAAGAGGAAGACAUGUUCAAAACCGAAAAAGAAUUCAAUAAAAACAGUCAAGAUUUCUGUUGGGAUCAUGGUUAAGACCAGGCAUGGCUUUAAGCCCAUAAGAGGGAAAACUCUACCAAUACAUGUUAAACCUCAGUGGUCAACAGACCAACUUUUGCCAGCUGCCUGUGAAAAACUAAAAGUUUUCAACCAAGACAUGAAUGAUGAAAACUGUGCCUUGCUCUAUCCUGAUGGCUCGCUGAUAAUACAUAUCCCUGGGACUGAGACACCCUUUACAAUUGAAAAGUACAAAGAGGCCAUUGGAAAACCAUAUCAAAGGAUCACAUUGUACAUCUACCUCCUUGAGGACUGGCCAGAGGGUGACGGAGAUGAGGAGGAGGAGGUCUUUGUAAGGGUGCCACCCAAUAUUUCACC